UGAACUCGCCUGAGGGUCCCACGUCAGUGGCAGAAAUCCUUAUGGACCCUGCACAGGUUGUUGGCAUGGAGCCCAG